rnacentral:rRNA from 1 species
UACGUAGGGUGCAAGCGUUAAUCGGAAUUACUGGGCGUAAACGUGCGCAGGCGGUUAUGCAAGACAGAUGUGAAAUCCCCGGGCUCAACCUGGGAACUGCAUUUGUGACUGCAUGGCUGGAGUGCGGCAGAGGGGGAUGGAAUUCCGCGUGUAGCAGUGAAAUGCGUAGAUAUGGCGGAGGAACACCGAUGGCGAAGGCAGUCCCCUGGGCCUG